AUGAGAUCACAUGGAUCGGGCUGGAGCUUGACAAGAGCGAUACAGGAAACCAUACAAUCGAAGGCUAGCAAGAAGAAGCAAAAAGAUAAUAAAAGCUCAAGGGAUUCAUCACGAAGGCAAGUGCUCCAGCGGAAGCUAUCAAUUAAAAGGUCAGACUGGGCGGCUCCGUCUCCGCCUCAGCCUUCUCCGCUCCCUGUUGGGUAUCUCCGAGGACUUGAGCUAAGGGAUUGUUUACUGAAUGUCCCAUACUUGACCUAUCGCUCCAUUCGGUGA